rnacentral:lncRNA from 1 species
GAAAAUUAAAGGAGGGAAAUGCUGAUGACCUCUCCCUCUUGUGACAGGUCUCUAACAAGGCCAACUUGGUGUUGUGUUUAUAAAAAUGAAGAUGUCUCCUUGUGGGGAUAGGGCAUAAUACUAAAGAGCAUGCCUCUCAAAGUGCACUGGGUUGAAUUAGUGGAUGGGAGACUUGAAACUUAAAAAUGGGUAACUUUGUAAUAGUGGGAAAACCAGGUCCCCUGUUUGAGAGAGGUCUUCCUCUUGCUUUGCAGUUUCCCUUCAGCAAGAAGCUAUGGGGAGCUUCUAGGUCUAAUGCUGUUCCUCUGCUUUUGAGCUGAAUUUCUGCAUGGCAGCCUUUCUCGAAUGCAGUAGGGCUUCCCUGGCUUGAAGAUGGGUGUGCUGUCCUGAGGGAGGAGCAGUGUUGACUGUCUUACAGUGACCUUCUGCUUUCCUUUAAGAAGAGUCCACUAAGAACUGUAUUGGGUUUUUCAGUAGGAGGCUGUCACUGGAACACACAGGAACAGUCAGAGCAAUUACUGAAUUGGACUGUCUGAGCUGAAAGUUGAUGGUGCAUCCCUCUGGUAGAGGGAAUGCAAAAAAGAGAGGUCUUGAAUCAGUAGUGAGUUUAUUGCUGAAGAGCAAAGAUUCGUAUCUCACCCUAAGCUGGGUGUUUUUCACUGCCACACGCCCAGUCAUUUCACUAUACCCAUGUUCUGCCUGGUACCACUCUGACUACCUUCUACCACUAACAACCAGAAUGGCUGAGCAAGGAGUACUGUUUGCAGCUAGGAAGCCAAAAACAGCCAAAAACCCUUCUGUUGCUUCCUUCUGUGUUCUGUGGGGGUGCACAGUCAGAAGAGAGCUUCCACCAUGCAUACCAGUCCUUAUAAAGUAUCUUUCCUUAUGAACACCAGUACGGACUCCCUUUCACUGUCUCUUUUAGCUGGAGACCUGGGCUGUGCAUCUGUGUUCCUCCAUCUA